rnacentral:rRNA from 1 species
AGAGUUUGAUAUGGCUCAGGAUGAACGCUGGCGGCGUGCUUAACACAUGCAAGUCGAACGGAGAUAUUGAAAGCUUGCUUUAGAUAUCUUAGUGGCGGACGGGUGAGUAACGCGUGGGUAACCUACCCUGUACAGGGGGAUAGCAGUUGGAAACGACUGAUAAAACCGCAUAAAACGGCAGUACCGCAUGGUACAACCGUCAAAUAUUCAUAGGUACAGGAUGGGCCCGCGUCUGAUUAGCUAGUUGGUGGGGCAACGGCCUACCAAGGCGACGAUCAGUAGCCGGCCUGAGAGGGUGAACGGCCACAUUGGGACUGAGACACGGCCCAACUCCUACGGGAGGCAGCAGUGGGGAAUAUUGGACAAUGGGGGAAACCCUGAUCCAGCGAACCGCCGCGUGAGUGAAGAAGUAUUUCGGUAUGUAAAGCUCUAUCAGCAGGGAAGAUGAUGACGGUACCUGACUAAGAAGCACCGGCUAAAUACGUGCCAGCCGCCGC